rnacentral:miRNA from 1 species
UCUCGGCCAAGUCUGGCAGA